rnacentral:rRNA from 1 species
GCCUACGGGUGGCAGCAGUGGGGAAUAUUGGACAAUGGGCGAAAGCCUGAUCCAGCCAUGCCGCGUGUGUGAAGAAGGCCUUUUGGUUGUAAAGCACUUUAAGCGAGGAGGAGGCUACUUAGAUUAAUACUCUAGGAUAGUGGACGUUACUCGCAGAAUAAGCACCGGCUAACUCUGUGCCAGCAGCCGCGGUAAUACAGAGGGUGCGAGCGUUAAUCGGAUUUACUGGGCGUAAAGCGUGCGUAGGAGGCGUCUUAAGUCGGAUGUGGAAUCCCUGAGCUUAACUUAGGAAUUGCAUUCGGUACUGGGAAGCUAGAGGAUGGGAGAAGAUGGUAGAAUUCCAGGUGUAGCGGUGAAAUGCGUAGAGAUCUGGAGGAAUACCGAUGGCGAAGGCAGCCAUCUGGCCUAAUACUGACGCUGAGGUACGAAAGCAUGGGGAGCAAACAGGAUUAGAUACCCUUGUAGUCUUU